rnacentral:rRNA from 1 species
UGAUUUGAGUCGCCAGCGUAAAGUUGGGCACUCUAAGGUGACUGCCGGUGACAAACCGGAGGAAGGUGGGGAUGACGUCAAAUCAUCAUGCCCCUUACGACCUGGGCUACACACGUGCUACAAUGGACGGUACAGAGGGUUGCCAACCCGCGAGGGGGAGCUAAUCCCAUAAAACCGUUCCCAGUUCGGAUUGCAGUCUGCAACUCGCCUCCAUGAAGUCGGAAUCGCUAGUAAUCGUG